rnacentral:lncRNA from 1 species
CCGACCAUAACUCCAAUCGAUUUGACCAAAAAUUGAAGCCAAAAUAGGCUACCUAAAAUAUAUUUAAACAACAGAUUUAAUAAUUUUUUUUCACUGCCGUCUGUAAGUUAUUGAAUAUAUUUCUGAUUUGUUAAAAUUACCUUGUGGUGAUUGCACGGGGACGAGAAUAUCGAGAGGAUUAUUAUCAGGCCCGAUAGCUAAAGGAUUGGUUUCCUCCGGCACUUCUUCCCGGAUCCUCCCCAAGUUGUUCCCACUAUUAGCCACCAUGGGAACGUCGUUUUUCGAGCGGCUAUUGCUAUUUCCGAUUGGGGAUCCGGCGAGAACUAGAGCAUUGAAUUCUCUACUCAUGGUGGUGAAAUUUUCACUUUCAGUACUACUAGCCAUGGACAGAUUUGAUGAUCUGUGGCUACUCGUUUCCCAAGCAAUUUCUCUCUGAGGGGGUGGUGGCUGUAGGCGAGACGGGGUUAGUGCAUGGAUUUCUCUAAUUUGGGGUUUUGUAGGCGAGAUGGGGUUAGUGAAAUUUUUUUUAUUGAAUUUGUUGUUUAAAUAUGUUUUGGGUAGCCUAUUUUGGCUUCAAUUUUCAGCCAAAUUGAUUGGAGUUAUGGUCGGAGCUUGGGUGGGUUUCGAAGAGAGUAGUGAGGGCUUCAAGGUGAUAUAUUGGUCCGGCACUCAAGGUGAUCGAAGGGUGGAGUUUUGGUGGUGGUGGAGGAGGGGAGGAAGAGGGAGAGGAGAGAAGAAAGAGAUUAUUUU